UACGUAGGGUGCAAGCGUUGUCCGGAAUUAUUGGGCGUAAAGAGCUCGUAGGCGGUCUGUUGCGUCGGCUGUGAAAACCCGAGGCUCAACCUCGGGCCUGCAGCCGAUACGGGCAGACUAGAGUUCGGCAGGGGAGACUGGAAUUCCUGGUGUAGCGGUAAAAUGCGCAGAUAUCAGGAGGAACACCGGUGGCGAAGGCGCUGCUCUGGGCCGGUACUGACGCUGACGGAGGCGAAAGCGUGGGUAGCAAACAGG
rnacentral:rRNA from 1 species